CUACAGUUAAAACAACCAUGCUCUUUUCCCUGUGAGGAUCCAGGGUCCAGCAGCUACAAAUAGCAGCCUUCUGGGUAGUUUCUGCAGCCUGUGGCUUAUAUGGGUUGCCCUAAGGGGCUUCAGAGAUAGCC